GCGGUCAUAGCUCAAUGGAUAGAGCACUUGGCUUCGGACCAAGGGGUUGGGGGUUCGAGUCCCUCUGGCCGCA
rnacentral:tRNA from 1 species